rnacentral:rRNA from 1 species
UACGAAGGGGGCUAGCGUUGCUCGGAAUCACUGGGCGUAAAGCGCACGUAGGCGGUCUUUUAAGUCAGGGGUGAAAUCCUGGAGCUCAACUCCAGAACUGCCUUUGAUACUGGGAGACUUGAGUCCGGGAGAGGUGAGUGGAACUGCGAGUGUAGAGGUGAAAUUCGUAGAUAUUCGCAAGAACACCAGUGGCGAAGGCGGCUCACUGGCCCGGCUACUGACGCUGAGGUGCGAAAGCGUGGGGAGCAAACAGGGAUUAAGAAACCCUGAG